rnacentral:rRNA from 1 species
CUUUUUUAGGGCAAGUUUGGUAGUUUUUUGAGCUAUAGCCGUUGUAGUUUACCACUUUUGGUAGUUUGUGACCAAUUUGGAUUAAAAACACAUUAUAUUAUCAUUUUAAUUUUGUAUUAUGGCUUUAAUUAGUGUUAUUAACUCCAGGUUGACAUGGCUUUGAGGUUCACUCAAGAUCCGGAUUCCCUGAGGGAUUAUUAAUUAUGUACACAUAAGGAAUAUUUAACAAAGUAGACCAGCACGUUUCAUUCAUUAAUAUCCGUUACAUGGGAAUACAUCAAAUAGGAAGUUUACACACACGGCCCAGACUGCUACGAGAGGCAGCAGUGGGGAAUUUUUCGCAAUGGGCGAAAGCAUGUCGGAGUAAUGCCACGUGGUGGUAGAAGGCCCACAGGUCGUGAACUUCUUUUCCCGGAGAAGAAGCAAUGACGCUCUCUGGGAGCUAACUCUGUGCCAGCAGCCGUGGUAAUACAGAGGAUGCAAGCGUUAUCCUGAAUGAUUGGGCGUAAAGCGUCUGUAGGUGGCUUUUUAAGUCCUCCGUCAAAUCCCAGGGCUCAACCCUGGACAGGCGGUGGAAACUACCAAGCUGGAGUACGGUAAGGGCAGAGGGAAUUUUUGGUGGAGCGGUAAAAUGCGUAGAGAUCGGAAAGAACACCAACGGCGAAAGCACUCUACUGGGCCGAUACUGACACUAAGAGACGAAAGCUAGGGGAGUGAAUGGGAUUAGAUACCCCAAUAGUCCUAGCCGUAAACGAUGGAUACUAGGCGCUGUGUGUAUCGACCCGUGCAGUGCUGUAGCUAACGCGUUAAGUAUACUGCCUGGGGAGUACGUUCGCAAGAAUGAAAAUCAAAGGAAUUGACGGGGGCCUGCACAAGCGGUGGAGCAUGUUGUUUAAUUCGAUGCAAAGCGAAGAACCUUACCAGGGAUUGGCAUGCCGCAAAUCCUCUUGAAAGAGAGUGGUGCCGUCAAGAACGCGGACACAGGUGGUACAUGGCUGUCGUCAGCUCGUGCCGUAAGGUGUUGAGUUAAGUCACGCAAUUAUAUAGGAUCUCAUCUUAAAUCCUAUAAAUAUUGUUGAUAGCUUUUAAUAAGCUUGCUAUGGUUGAGGCAGUUAUCUAUAUUAUUUUAUUGCUGCACUGGUUCAUCAUAAUUAUCUUGUAUUUCUAAAUUCUUAAUUGAUGUAUAGUUUUCAUACUAGUACUAUUCGACAGUACUAACGUCUCUUUUGCCGGGGGUGCUGCAUCUUUCAAUGGAUGCAGGUGGUUCCACAGCAGGAGACAUUGAUCAGUGAUAGCAGUACACCUUCUUCCCAGCAGACUUGGUGAGCCCCACUUCAUCCCGGGGUCAUGUAUCUUUUGUACCUUGUGUAUUCCGUUUGAAGUAUAGCCGGAGCCUUAUUGCCGGUAUUAUCAUUGUAC